GCACUCGUAGUAUAGUGGUUAGUAUGUGAGCCUUCCAAGCUUAGGACUCGGGUUCGAAUCCCGACGAGUGCA
rnacentral:tRNA from 1 species